rnacentral:rRNA from 1 species
CUGGCUCAGGAUGAACGCUGGCGGCGUGCUUAACACAUGCAAGUCGAACGAAGCAUUUAAGACAGAUUACUUCGGUUUGAAGUCUUUUAUGACUGAGUGGCGGACGGGUGAGUAACGCGUGGGUAACCUGCCUCAUACAGGGGGAUAACAGUUGGAAACGACUGCUAAUACCGCAUAAGCGCACAGUACCGCAUGGUACAGUGUGAAAAACUCCGGUGGUAUGAGAUGGACCCGCGUCUGAUUAGCUGGUUGGUGAGGUAACGGCCCACCAAGGCGACGAUCAGUAGCCGACCUGAGAGGGUGACCGGCCACAUUGGGACUGAGACACGGCCCAGACUCCUACGGGAGGCAGCAGUGGGGAAUAUUGCACAAUGGAGGAAACUCUGAUGCAGCGACGCCGCGUGAGUGAAGAAGUAUUUCGGUAUGUAAAGCUCUAUCAGCAGGGAAGAUAAUGACGGUACCUGACUAAGAAGCUCCGGCUAAAUACGUGCCAGCAGCCGCGGUAAUACGUAUGGAGCAAGCGUUAUCCGGAUUUACUGGGUGUAAAGGGAGUGUAGGUGGCCAGGCAAGUCAGAAGUGAAAGCCCGGGGCUCAACCCCGGGACUGCUUUUGAAACUGCAGGGCUAGAGUGCAGGAGGGGCAAGUGGAAUUCCUAGUGUAGCGGUGAAAUGCGUAGAUAUUAGGAGGAACACCAGUGGCGAAGGCGGCUUACUGGACGAUAACUGACGCUGAGGCUCGAAAGCGUGGGGAGCAAACAGGAUUAGAUACCCUGGUAGUCCACGC